GACGAACGCUGGCGGCGUGCCUAAUACAUGCAAGUCGAGCGAAGCAGCGGAUGGUUGAGUAACGCGUGGGUAACCUGCCUUUCAGUCUGGGAUACCCUUUGGACACAGAUGCUCAUACCGGAUACUAAAGGAUGGACCUGCGAUGCAUUAGCCAGUUGGUAAGGUAACGGCUUACCAAGGCGAUGAUGCAUAGCCGAUUUGAGAGACUGACCAGCCACAUUGGGACUGAGACACGGCCCAAACUCCUACGGGAGGCAGCAGUAGGGAAUCUUGCACAAUGGAGGAAAGUCUGAUGCAGCAACGCCGCGUGAGUGAAGAAGGUAUUCGGAUCGUAAAGCACUGUUGUUGGAGAAGCGGUAAUCAACCAGAAAGUAACGGCUAACUACGUGCCAGCAGCCGCGGUAAUAC
rnacentral:rRNA from 1 species